CACAACCACUGCAUCAAUUGCAACGUUCGACAUAAACAUCCGCACAGCACUGAUCUCAAAAGGAAAAAGAGAAAAUUCCCCAUACUACUACUGACUAUAACUGCUGCUAAAGAACGCAGGCUAGGAGAGUACAGAGCACUCCAGCGGAAGCCGGAGUUCAGAGACUCCAUUUAAUCACCGAGAGCUUCUGAAUUCAUAUUAUUCCCUGCCCUGUCCGAGCUUCUGUAUCCAUGCACUCGAGCUCACCAAACUUGAGACAUCUCCUAUCCGC
rnacentral:lncRNA from 1 species